rnacentral:antisense_RNA from 1 species
UUUGCGGGUUGAUGCCGUGCGGGCACCCUUCGGGGUGGCCUGUUCCUAAGUUCAGGUCCGCCAACCCGCACGGCGUCGCCCUCCCUC